UACGUAGGGCGCAAGCGUUAUCCGGAAUUAUUGGGCGUAAAGAGCUCGUAGGCGGUUUGUCGCGUCUGCCGUGAAAGUCCGGGGCUCAACUCCGGAUCUGCGGUGGGUACGGGCAGACUAGAGUGAUGUAGGGGAGACUGGAAUUCCUGGUGUAGCGGUGGAAUGCGCAGAUAUCAGGAGGGACACCGGUGGCGAAGGCGGGUCUCUGGGCAGUAACUGACGCUGAGGAGCGAAAGCGUGGGGAGCGAACAGG
rnacentral:rRNA from 1 species